rnacentral:snRNA from 1 species
UCACUCUGGCUUCUCUUCAACGUAUGAUUCUUUCGCCUUUUACUAAAGAGUUCCGUGAAGAGGAGCAGUUCAAUGAGUCUUGAACAUU